rnacentral:lncRNA from 1 species
GCCGUGGUGACCUUCCUGUGGGAGGCCCUUUCCACACACUAGCUGUGGGUCCCAGAGUUGGAAGUCAGUCCUACAGGUAGACUCUUACCCAGUCCUCUCCAGACGUGGGGAGGGAGCUGCGGACACGCGCUGUGGAGCCAGACACGACCUUGGACCUUUGGCCUAGCUGCUGUGGUCUUUCAUAAUAGAGGCCUGCAGAGGAGAACAAGGAGGACAGAGGACAGGGAGGACAGACGGCAGCCUGUGAGCGGGGCCCGGGGUCCUCCUGCACUCCUGUUGCUCUUGACGGAGAGAAAGCCACUUCUAAAAGGAUUGUCCCCAGAGGUGUUGACCACGUGUGGACUGCCUCCCUGACCUGUCCUCUGUGUCGGGGAACCACUGGUGGGCUAGAGUCCUGGGGACCUGAGGGAUCGAGGCCACCACCUACCAGUUCCCAAUGACAGGUCCCGAGACUGACUCCCUUGGUGGCUCCUGUGACUUUGGUCCAACCGGAGGAGCUCUGGCAACCUUGCUCAUGGACAAGCCCCAGGUG